rnacentral:rRNA from 1 species
GAUGAACGCUGGCGGCGUGCCUAAUACAUGCAAGUCGAGCGAACAGACGAGGAGCUUGCUCCUCUGACGUUAGCGGCGGACGGGUGAGUAACACGUGGAUAACCUACCUAUAAGACUGGGAUAACUUCGGGAAACCGGAGCUAAUACCGGAUAAUAUAUUGAACCGCAUGGUUCAAUAGUGAAAGACGGUUUUGCUGUCACUUAUAGAUGGAUCCGCGCCGCAUUAGCUAGUUGGUAAGGUAACGGCUUACCAAGGCAACGAUGCGUAGCCGACCUGAGAGGGAGAUCGGACACACUGGAACUGAGACACGGUCCAGACUCCGACGGGAGGCAGCAGUAGGGAAUCUUCCGCGAUGGGCGAAAGCCGGACGGAGCAACGCCGCGUGAGUGAUGAAGGUCUUCGGAUCGUAAAACUCUGUUAUUAGGGAAGAACAAAUGUGUAAGUAACUAUGCACGUCUUGACGGUACCUAAUCAGAAAGCCACGGCUAACUACGUG